rnacentral:rRNA from 1 species
GACGAACGCUGGCGGCGUGCUUAACACAUGCAAGUCGAACGGUGAAGGUGGAGCUUGCUCCGCCGGAUCAGUGGCGAACGGGUGAGUAACACGUGGGCAACCUGCCCCUGACUUCGGGAUAACUCCUCGAAAGAGGUGCUAAUACCGGAUACGAAUCCUGCAGGCAUCUGCGGGAUUGGAAAGUUUUUCGGUCAGGGAUGGGCCCGCGGCCUAUCAGCUUGUUGGUGAGGUAGUAGCUCACCAAGGCGACGACGGGUAGCCGGCCUGAGAGGGCAACCGGCCACACUGGGACUGAGACACGGCCCAGACUCCUACGGGAGGCAGCAGUGGGGAAUAUUGCGCAAUGGGCGAAAGCCUGACGCAGCAACGCCGCGUGAGGGAUGACGGCCUUCGGGUUGUAAACCUCUUUCAGCAGGGAAGAAGCGAAAGUGACGGUACCUGCAGAAGAAGCACCGGCUAACUACGUGCCAGCCGCUGCGGUAA